AAGUCGUAACAAGGUUUCCGUAGGUGAACCUGCGGAAGGAUCAUUAUUGAAAAUAAAAAAGGUUAUUGAGGUGUUUAUGUUGCUGGCCUUUAACAAGAGGCAUGUGCACUGUUCACUGAUUGACCAAUUUUGUUUAUCCACCUGUGCACCUUUUGUAGGAGUUCUCGUCAUUUUUGGCUUUCAGGUUGUAAGACCUUGUUAGUUGAUUUGAUAAGACUUCUAUGUCUUUACAAACCUAUUAAAGUAUGUUUAGAAUGUUGUUUUACUGGGGCUUUAUUGACCCUUUAAACUUUGUACAACUUUCAGCAACGGAUCUCUUGGCUCUCC
rnacentral:misc_RNA from 1 species